rnacentral:rRNA from 1 species
UACCAGCACCCCGAGUGGUCGGGACGAUUAUUGGGCCUAAAGCAUCCGUAGCCGGUUUUGCAAGUCUUCCGUUAAAUCCACCUGCUCAACAGAUGGGCCGCGGAGGAUACUAUAGAGCUAGGAGGCGGGAGAGGCAAGCGGUACUCGAUGGGUAGGGGUAAAAUCCGUUGAUCCAUUGAAGACCACCAGUGGCGAAGGCGGCUUGCCAGAACGCGCUCGACGGUGAGGGAUGAAAGCUGGGGGAGCAAACCGG